AGAAUGUAUAUGGCUCGAUUGACGCUGGCGGCAGGCCUAACACAUGCAAGUCGAGCGGCAGCGGGAAAGUAGCUUGCUACUUUUGCCGGCGAGCGGCGGACGGGUGAGUAAUGCCUGGGAAAUUGCCCAGUCGAGGGGGAUAACAGUUGGAAACGACUGCUAAUACCGCAUACGCCCUACGGGGGAAAGCAGGGGACCUUCGGGCCUUGCGCGAUUGGAUAUGCCCAGGUGGGAUUAGCUAGUUGGUGAGGUAAUGGCUCACCAAGGCGACGAUCCCUAGCUGGUCUGAGAGGAUGAUCAGCCACACUGGAACUGAGACACGGUCCAGACUCCUACGGGAGGCAGCAGUGGGGAAUAUUGCACAAUGGGGGAAACCCUGAUGCAGCCAUGCCGCGUGUGUGAAGAAGGCCUUCGGGUUGUAAAGCACUUUCAGCGAGGAGGAAAGGUUGAUGCCUAAUACGUAUCAACUGUGACGUUACUCGCAGAAGAAGCACCGGCUAACUCCGUGCCAGCCGCCGCGGUAAUACGUCGUGACUGGAAA
rnacentral:rRNA from 1 species